rnacentral:rRNA from 1 species
AGUGAACGCUGGCGGUAGGCCUAACACAUGCAAGUCGAACGGCAGCACAGUAAGAGCUUGCUCUUACGGGUGGCGAGUGGCGGACGGGUGAGGAAUACAUCAGAAUCUACUUUUUCGUGGGGGAUAACGUAGGGAAACUUACGCUAAUACCGCAUACGACCUACGGGUGAAAGCAGGGGAUCUUCGGACCUUGCGCGAUUGAAUUAGCCGAUGUCGGAUUAGCUAGUUGGCGGGGUAAAGGCCCACCAAGGCGACGAUCCGUAGCUGGUCUGAGAGGAUGAUCAGCCACACUGGAACUGAGACACGGUCCAGACUCCUACGGGAGGCAGCAGUGGGGAAUAUUGGACAAUGGGCGCAAGCCUGAUCCAGCCAUACCGCGUGGGUGAAGAAGGCCUUCGGGUUGUAAAGCCCUUUUGUUGGGAAAGAAAAGCAGCAGGUUAAUACCCCGCUGUUCUGACGGUACCCAAAGAAUAAGCACCGGCUAACUUCGUG